rnacentral:rRNA from 1 species
GACGAACGCUGGCGGCGCGCCUAACACAUGCAAGUCGAACGAGCGAGAGAGAGCUUGCUUUCUCGAGCGAGUGGCGAACGGGUGAGUAACGCGUGAGGAACCUGCCUCAAAGAGGGGGACAACAGUUGGAAACGACUGCUAAUACCGCAUAAGCCCACGGCUCGGCAUCGAGCAGAGGGAAAAGGAGCAAUCCGCUUUGAGAUGGCCUCGCGUCCGAUUAGCUAGUUGGUGAGGUAAUGGCCCACCAAGGCGACGAUCGGUAGCCGGACUGAGAGGUUGAACGGCCACAUUGGGACUGAGACACGGCCCAGACUCCUACGGGAGGCAGCAGUGGGGAAUAUUGCACAAUGGGGGAAACCCUGAUGCAGCGACGCCGCGUGGAGGAAGAAGGUCUUCGGAUUGUAAACUCCUGUUGUUGAGGAAGAUAAUGACGGUACUCAACAAGAAAGUGACGGCUAACUACGUGCCAGCAGCCGCGGUAAAACGUAGGUCACAAGCGUUGUCCGGAAUUACUGGGUGUAAAGGGAGCGCAGGCGGGAAGACAAGUUGGAAGUGAAAUCCAUGGGCUCAACCCAUGAACUGCUUUCAAAACUGUUUUUCUUGAGUAGUGCAGAGGUAGGCGGAAUUCCCGGUGUAGCGGUGGAAUGCGUAGAUAUCGGGAGGAACACCAGUGGCGAAGGCGGCCUACUGGGCACCAACUGACGCUGAGGCUCGAAAGUGUGGGUAGCAAACAGGAUUAGAUACCCUGGUAGUCCACACUGUAAACGAUGAUUACUAGGUGUUGGAGGAUUGACCCCUUCAGUGCCGCAGUUAACACAAUAAGUAAUCCACCUGGGGAGUACGACCGCAAGGUUGAAACUCAAAGGAAUUGACGGGGGCCCGCACAAGCAGUGGAGUAUGUGGUUUAAUUCGACGCAACGCGAAGAACCUUACCAAGUCUUGACAUCCCUUGACGAUGCUGGAAACAGUAUUUCUCUUCGGAGCAAGGAGACAGGUGGUGCAUGGUUGUCGUCAGCUCGUGUCGUGAGAUGUUGGGUUAAGUCCCGCAACGAGCGCAACCCUUAUGGUCAGUUACUACGCAAGAGGACUCUGGCCAGACUGCCGUUGACAAAACGGAGGAAGGUGGGGAUGACGUCAAAUCAUCAUGCCCCUUAUGACUUGGGCUACACACGUACUACAAUGGCGUUAAACAAAGAGAAGCAAGACCGCGAGGUGGAGCAAAACUCAGAAACAACGUCCCAGUUCGGACUGCAGGCUGCAACUCGCCUGCACGAAGUCGGAAUUGCUAGUAAUCGCAGAUCAGCAUGCUGCGGUGAAUACGUUCCCGGGCCU